AGCCAAGCGUGUCACAGUGAGAACCAGUGAAUGGUAAUGAACUGUGUGUGUGUGGUGGCGGGGGUGGGUGUCUCAGAAAAGGAGGGAGUAUUCAGUGAGUAUGAGGGCAGAGCCAGCAGAGAGAGGGAGAAGAGCGGAUAGAGGAACGAGAGCGGAGAGAGGGAGGAGAGCAGACAGAGAAGGAACAAGGCAGUCGGCUGACCACUCCAUCCAUCCCUCCUUUCUCUUUCUCCUCUUCUGCUUCAGUGACGGGGUAGUGGAGGUGUGUGUGGGAAAGGAAACCCUCCCUCCACACGCAAACAGACCACUGCUCCUCAUCCCUUCCACCUGCCUCCAUCCCUCUCCCUUCUCCCAUUGUCAUUACUACCUCCACCUCUGUCUCAUUCCUUCUCACUCCAUCCCAUCAUCCAUCUAUCUCUCUAUCGCUCUUUCUUUCUCUCCAGCCCCCACGUCCUUCUAACCCACACGCUCUGUGUCACCUCCGUGGUGAAGAAAAUGAUCGUCGAACAAGCUGGAAAAGGUAGAGGAGAGGACAGAGAGAGGAGAAAGAGAGGAAGGGUGAACUCUGUCCAUUCAAAACACUCCAGACUUUCCCGUUUCCCUGAUGGAUUAUCGCCAGCCCCACGGACAGAAGGAGGAGUGGAGGAGAAAAGAAAAAGACCAAUAGAGGAAGAGAGAAGACAAGAAUUGAGCUCUGGACAGCCAGUUCGCCUAAAGGCCUUGUCUGCAGGCUGUGCUUGGGACUCUGGCUAAUUGUGGAGUAUUCUCAGGACUCCAGCGGAGGAGAGAGAGAGAGAUGCUCUCUCUUUCUUUUCAUUCUAAUUAAUUCCCCUCUAUGCAAACACUCAAAGAGCCUUUCUCUUUGAGGGCGAUAAUUUCAUAUUCUGUUCAUAUCAUUAUUUUCCAUUUGUUUUUUCCACACAUACUGUACCUGUAGGCUGCCACUCAAAAAGAAAAAGAAAAAAACCAUACAAAAACUCUCUGACAUCCCUAGGGGGUUUGGGAGUGGGUGUACAACACAAGACAAUGCCGGUGUGAACUGGACGUGCUUGGACAGAAAAAUUAGAGAAUGAACGUGAGUGUGAGAGAUAAAACAUAAUAGUGUGGAGUCUACUAGAAAGAAGCAUUUCCCAGAGUGGUGUGAGGGAAGAAAGCAAGGAAAAUACUGUUUUCACCUCAGGUCUAACCAGUGCUGUGGAUAGACAGAGUAAGACAUCGGUCCCUGCUCAUCGGUCCCUGCUCAUACAACACCGAGACUGAGAAGAAUGCACAAGACUGAGGAGAGAACGGACGGACAAACACACAGACAAGUCAGCCCUCCGACCCCAACCGCAUUCUGGUCCAUCUCUGUUAGGGUACAGCGCCCUACACACACAUACUCUUACUCUCACACAUACACACACUCAUACUCACACUCAUACACAGACACAAAAGAACCUUGGCUUCGUCUGGGACUCUUUUCUUUUCAGAAUUAUUUAUUUUCUAGCACCCAUUUUUUCCCCUCUCUGCCCCCUUCUCUCCCUGUCUCUCUCCCAUCUCUCCUCCAUCUCUCCUUAUAGACUCUGAGAACACCAUAUCUCCACUACACAGACCUCUACACUUCCUGAUUCUUACAUUGAUUGGUCUUUCAGUUCCUCCCUUCUACAUAUCUCUACUUCUCUUUCUCUCCCUUUCCCUCUUUUUCUUACCAUUCUUCUUUCUCUAUUUUUCUCUCUCUGUCUCUCUCCCUCUCUCACACUCCUUUGCUUUCCUGCCCCCUCGUCACACCUCACUCCCUCUCUCUUCUCCUACCGCUCCCUCACUUGCCCAGUCUCAUUGUCUUCACAAACAGCAGUGUUAGUGUGUGUGUGUACGGGGGAACCAAUCCAUUCUGCAGCAGUUACCACGGAGCACAGGGAAGCCUGAGGUAUUACAUGUGUCUCAAUCAAACCAUGCCCCAGUUCACCUUUGCCUGUUUCUGUGGUCUGCACGGCUUCUGCCGGAGACGGACGAAGAAUAAAAAUAAGAAAAGGGAGGAACAAGUGGAGAUGGAGGAGAAACAGAGGGAUCAGGAGACGGAGGUGUGAAGGAAGUCUCGGGGGACUUCACCCUCCUCUUCAUCUUCUCAGAGACUCUGUUUUGGUCAUAGUUGAAAAGCGUUUGAAACCCCUUCCUGUGUACCUCAGUCCUUGGGAAUGAAGGCAGGAUAUCUUCACCAAACACAUUCAGUACCACUGAUUUUUACUCAAUUUAACUUAAAACUGUGGUCUGUAAUUUCUUUUAAAAAAAUGUUACUCCAUGUAGGCCAGUACACUUACAAAGUUCUGCCAAAUUGAAUUACAGAUUGUGCCUUUUAGAUGGGGAGAUGGAACAGUAUGUAAUGAUGGCAUUCUUCUUUCUAUGUCCAGAUCCUUUCCAAUUAUUCACGCUGUGGUCCGUCUCUCCUCCACCCGAAGCAGCUGUCCAAUCAGCAGUUUCACUGGACAGUAUAGGUAGAGGUCAAAGGUUAAAACAAAUGUUAUUUACAAUCUCCUCCACCAAGGGGACGGGCACACACAUGUAAAUUAAAGAUACGCAUGGGUCUGUAAAUGUGACUCACUGCCUCGAUUACAGUAGGUAUUAAGUAACAAAAUUAUAUAUAUAUUUCUUUACAUUGGAUAAAAGUAGAGACUCAAAGGUAGAAAAUGGUAUAUCAUACACUGCAGUUGAGGAACAAUGGGAAAGUAAUUAUAUUUGAAAGUCGAUAAACUUGUAACUCCACAAUGAACCAUAAUUCCCAACUCAUACAGUAAUAGCAAUACAAACUGAUUGUCAUAGUUAGCCACCAUGCGUGAAUCUGCAGGUAGCUAAAGCUAAUCAACUAUGUUCAAUGUUAGCUAGCUAGCUAACAUUGGCCUAUAACUAGCAAUGCAAAUGGAUUUCUGAUAUACUAAUAAUAUUACUACACACGUAACGUUAGCUAGCGAGCCAACAAGCUAACGUUCGCUAGCCACCUAACAUUAUGCUUUAACUUGCAAUGAGAAUGACUUUCUAGCUAAAUUAGAAACGUAUAAUAUCUGAAAUUUUAGCAAGUCUCUUUCCCGUAUACAUGGAUGAUCGCUUCAUGGCAGACUGCUACCCCUUUAACGCCGUUUUGUUUGUAGUUACAGCUUGUUUGGCCCGCGUUGUGUCAAGUCACUCUGGUUCACACUGUCCGUAGUAGUAGUCCAUCUAAACUUUUUCCCACUGAUCUUUGUCUAUAGCGCCUGCUAAAAUUCAGGGCAGCAAUGUUGUUGAGAGCAGUCCAACAUUAUAUCUUUCAAAAAAGCCGUGGUAGCCAGGAUUCACAUACGAAGCAGCUCAUGUUACAGACAGAAGCAUGCUACAUGGCAGAUCAAUCUGAUCUCAUCUCUCAGCAUGUCCAGCCUAUCCAUUAUCUCCGCCAACCCGGUCUUUUUCCGUGGCUAAGCCAACUAGGAUCCUAAUUUAACGAUUGUAUCCGUAUUUAUCAAUUGCAUGCCGUUUUUGUUAUUAAGGCACAUGAAAGUUUAUAUGUUCCAGAACGCAUUUUGAUAAAAAAAUUAUAACUUUCAAAUGCCUCUCCUAUGAAGUAGUGACGUGCGACAUAUGCCUAGCUUCUUGAAACGGUUUAUAAAUGCCACUGGUGGCGUUGGGACACUUGUCACCUGUCACCUGUUUAAUAUGGAAGUAGUGAAUGUGAUUGUGUGUGCAUUGAGACUUCAUUGCAACUGGAGCAUUGAGAGUUUCAGCACCUAGAUAUUCAUUUACUGCAUAAUGGCCUUUACACACACACACACACACACACACACACACACACACACACACACACACACACACACACACACACACACACACACACACACACACACACACACACACACACA